AAGUCGUAACAAGGUUUCCGUAGGUGAACCUGCGGAAGGAUCAUUAACACGUAUCCAAACGUUAAAACCCCCCCCGUGAACCUUCAUCCUGCUCUUGUAACCCGCGUAGUUCGCCAUCUCUGAUAAAUCAUAGCCCGGAAAGUUGUAGUGAUUCAGAGACCUCUGGCUACGUGCGAAUAUUGGAACAGUUACUUGUAGACCGUACACUCGGGCAGGAGCUUUGCCAAAGGGUCCCCAUGCCCCCUAAUAACCCCACAUUUUAAUGUGAAGCUCAAUGUAAUACAUUGGGUAAAAAACCGAACAACUGUUAACAAUGAAUAUCUUGGUUCUC
rnacentral:misc_RNA from 1 species